rfam:Brenneria sp. EniD312 chromosome, whole genome shotgun sequence.
AGCAGGGGGCGACCCCGCCAAAAAAAACUGAGCCGGCGGCGUUAAAUAAAACGCGGCCGGCGAAU